GCAAUUCUCUUGCCUCAGACUCCCGAGUAGCUGGAAUUACAGGUGUUGGAAAAACAGUUCCCAGAGUGCAAGGGUUUGGAAGCGCAGCAGACCAAUUCCAGGUUCCUUCACUCACUUGGAAUUGCAUCGGCUCCUGGGAGGCCAGCUGUGCAGAUUCAAGGAGCACUGUGCAGGGAGCAUUCCUGUGUGCUGGCGGAUUCCUAGUGCCCCACCCCAGGACAAGGCCCAUCGGUUCAAAUAAAAGCAAUUUUCAAGAGAUUUUCUGGAAUUAUGAAGACCCGAUAAAGAUUACAUGCUGUCAUCAGAGAGUUUCUUGCAGAAAAAGAAGGACCCAUUUUUCAGUCAACAAGCUACAUAAACCAAUAAAAGUGUUCAAUGAAUGUU